AAGCAACAUACUGUCUGAGUUUCCACGUUUUAAAGACGUCAAAAGCUUGGUUGAACAGGAUUUCGUUCUAAUGUUCGGAGAGGAUACCUCGAGCAAGCUUCUGGAAAGGUGGCCAGUCACGUUCAAGAAAAAGAUCAAACACUGCAGAAAGCUUCCAUCCACAAGUGAGCUUGAAGAACUCUUGCUGGGAGCUGAUCCUCCUGAGGAUGGCACUGAAUUGGAUGUGGACUUUGGUUGGGACAGUGAUCUGUCAUCGGUUUUACUGCUGCUAAACCUGAUUCCAC